rnacentral:tRNA from 1 species
UGGGUCAGUUGGUAGAGCAUGGUGUUUGCAACGCCAGGGUUGUGGGUUUGAUUCCCAC